GGGCGUAUGGUGUAGCGGCUAGCACGUCGGACUCUGAAUCCGUCGACCCGAGUUCGAUUCUCGGUAUGCCCU